UAGGGAAUCUUCGGCAAUGGACGGAAGUCUGACCGAGCAACGCCGCGUGAGUGAAGAAGGUUUUCGGAUCGUAAAACUCUGUUGGUAGAGAAGAACGUUGGUGAGAGUGGAAAGCUCAUCAAGUGACGGUAACUACCCAGAAAGGGACGGCUAACUACGUGCCAA
rnacentral:rRNA from 1 species